rnacentral:rRNA from 1 species
CGCCUGGUGAAUGGCUCGGCUCGAGUGCCGACGAAGGACGUGCCAAGCUGCGAUAAGCCCCGGGGACCCGCAUGGAGGGUAAGAACCGGGGAUGUCCGAAUAGGAAUCCUCUCGCAAUUGCCUCGCGCAAUGGGGAACGCCGGAAACUGAAACAUCUCAGUACCGGCAGGAAGAGAAACCGAACGGGAUGUCGUUAGUAACCGCGAGUGAACGCGACGGAGUCCAAACCGAAGCUUGCGGGUUAUACCGGAAGCAAUGUGGUGUUCGGACUGACACUCAGCGCCGAACCUCCAGCGUGAACUCUCCUGGAACGGAGGGCGAUACAGGGUGAAAGCCCCGUAACGCGGGAGCGACGGCGUGCGUCAGUACCAGAGUAACGAGGGCUGGAAACCCCUCGUGAACGACCCAGGCAUCGACUGGGAAGACUAAACACUACUCGAGACCGAUAGCGGACAAGUAGCGUGAGCGAACGCUGAAAAGCACCCUCAGAAGGGAGGUGCAAUAGGGCCUGCAAUCAGGUGGCGAUCGAGCGACGGAGCGUAAAAGGCCCGGUGAGAAACGACCCGAGGGCGACCUCGCAGUAGGAAUCACGGGGAGCCGACGUUCCGUCGUACGUUUUGAAAAACGAGCCAGGGAGUGUGUCCGUCCGACGAGUCUAACCGGUGUAUCCAGGAAGGCGUAGGGAAACCGAUAGGGCCGCAGUACAUCCGUACGAGGGCCACCGUGUUCAAGCGCGGGGAGUCGAACGGUCACGACCCGAAUCCGGACGAUCUACGCGCGGGCAAGGUGAAGCACGGCGAAAGCCGUGUGGAGGCCUGUUAGGGAUGGUGUCCUACAAUACCCUCCCGUGACCUGCGUGUAGGGGUGAAAGGCCCAUCGAGUCCGGCAACAGCUGGUUCCGACCGAAACAUGUCGAAGCAUGACCUCCGUCGAGGUAGUCCGUGGGGUAGAGCGACCGAUUGGAGUGACCGCCCCCGAGAGGGGUCGGCGCUCCUGUCGAACUCCGAACCUACGGACGCUACAGACGCGGGGAGUCCGGUGCGCGGGGUAAGCCCACGUACCGUGAGGGAGACAACCCAGAGUUGGGUUAAGGUCCCCAAGUGUGGACUCAGUGCGACCGAAGGUGGUCUCGAGCCUUAGACAGCCGGGAGGUGAGCUUAGAAGCAGCUACCCGCUAAGAAAAGCGUAACAGCUUACCGGCCGAGGUUCGAGGCGCCGAAAAUGAUCGGGGCUCAAGUCCACCACCGAUACCUGACGACGUGAAAGCGACUCAGUAGGUCGGCGCUCCGUUCGGGUGGAAGCACGGGCGAGAGUUCGUGUGGACCGAGCGGCGACGAUAAUCCUGGCCAAAGUAGCAGCGAUAGUCGGGUGAGAAUCUCGACGGCCGAACAGGAAAGGGUUCCUCAGCACUGUUCGUCAACUGAGGGUUAGCCGGUCCUAAGAUCAGUCGCAGUUCGAGCUGAUCAAACGGGAAAUAGGUUAAUAUUCCUAUGCUACCGUACAUCGAAAGCCAACGCCUCAGGGUCGACCGAGCCGGGCUCCGCCCGGUCGAAGCGUCAAAGCCCGUGGAAGCCGUAACGGCACGAAGCGGGCGAACGGCGCAACAGGGCAACUCGGUUCAACCUGGGGCCCGUGAAACGGCGAGUACGAUAUCCGUACCCAGAUCCGACACAGGUUCCUGUGGCGGCGAAAGCCAAGGCCUGUCGGGACCAACCGACGUUAGGGAAUUCGGCAAAUUAGUCCCGUACGUUCGCAAUAAGGGAUGCCUGCCCCGGAAAGGGGCAGGCCGCAGUGACUCGAACGCUCCGACUGUCUACUAACAACACAGGUGACCGCAAAUCCGCAAGGACUCGUACGGUCACUGAAUCCUGCCCAGUGCGGGUAUCUGAACACCCAGUACAAUGGGACGAAGGACCCCAGUGCGGAGUCUGGAGACCCCCAAGGGGAAGCGAAGACCCUAUAGAGCUUUACUGCAGGUUGCCGCUGGGACACGGCCGCUGAUGUGCAGCAUAGGUAGGAGGCGUUACAGAGGUGCUGGCUGCUAGCCAGUCGCCCAGCCAUCAGUGAAAUACUACCCGUCAGUGGCUGUGACCCUCACUCCGGGAGGAGAACACCGGUAGCCGGGCAGUUUGACUGGGGCGGUACGCGCUCGAAAUCCUAUCGAGCGCGCCCGAAGGUCGUCUCAUCCGGGUCGGAAACCCGGAAAAGAGUGUAAGAGCAUAAGACGGCCUGACAGUGUUCUUCCCAACGAGGAACGCUGACACAAACGUGUGGUCUAGCGAACCUAUGCGCCCGCCCGAUGCGGGCCAUAGAUGACAGAAAAGCUACCUUAGGGAUAACAGAGUCGUCACCCGCAAGAGCACAUAUCGACCGGGUGGCUUGCUACCUCGAUGUCGGUUCCCUCCAUCCUGCCCGUGCAACAGCGGGCAAGGGUGAGGUUGUUCGCCUAUUAAAGGAGGUCGUGAGCUGGGUUUAGACCGUCGUGAGACAGGUCGGCUGCUAUCUAUUGGGGGUGUUUGAGGUGCCUGACGGGAACGCCCGUAUAGUACGAGAGGAACUACGGACGGUCGCCGCUGGUGUACCGGUUGUCCGCAAGGGCACGUGCCGGGCAGCCACGCGACACGGGCUAAGAGCUGAACGCAUCUAAGCUCGAAACCCACCUGAAAAAGAGGCACCGCCCGAGAUCACUCGUAGAAGACGAGUCAGAUAGACUCGGGGUGUACGCGCCGAGGCAACGAGGCGUUCAGCCCGCGAGCACUAACGAUCGAGC